rnacentral:lncRNA from 1 species
AUCAACGAACCCAUUACCUUACCUUUAAGAUAGAUCAGUAAACAUGGGCAUACUUAUGGGUGAUUAUUCAGACUAGUGCACACAUAUUACAGUUCAAACAAGGCAAUGCCGAGCGUGGCAUCCCCUCGUAUGUAACAUAUUGGGGACAAAUAUGGACACUAUAUGUGUAUAUGACACAUGCAGAAAAUGGUAAAUUGAAUAUGCAUAUUUGAUACAUAAACUCGUUUUAGAAAUCAACCAAAGCAUUCAGUAACUGGAAAAACCUUUAAUAUUGUCUUUAGAACCAGCAGGUAAAAAAAUGAGCAACCAAUAUCCUGUGUAUUAUGCUAUUUCAAGGAGAAAACACAAGUCCAUCUGCAUGACCUUGACCUUUGGCCUUGAACGUAAAAAAUGUCAGAUCAUUACAAGGAGGAACAAUAUACCAAAUGUGGUUAAAAUCUUUUGAAGCAUAUUGGUUUUAGAGUGUCCACAAGGGUGAUAUUGCCUUGUAUUACAACUGCCACUAUGACCUUGACCUUUGAACUUUAAAGUCA